CUUGUCUCUGCUGCAUGACAGCUGGGGCUGUGACCACUGUGGGUAACGCAGCAGCUGGGGUGUAUUAUGGUCUAACGGCUCCUUUCCUUAUAUGUCUAACCCUGGCCUGGAGCACUGGAGGAUGAGGUCCGCUGACUGCAGCGUCCAUCCUGGUCCUCCCCAGGCACUGUGGCCUCCCUCACAGCAUGGCUGCCUUGGGUACUCGGACUUCACGUGGAAGGCCAGGGCUCCGAGAGCAAAUGCCCCAGCAAGACAGAAGCUCAGCCGCCUUUGAUGACCUAGAAGCUAGGCAGCAUCCAUUGUACUGCCUUCUAUGGGUUGUGAGUGAGUCCCAAACCUGCCUUGACUCAAGGAAACGGAAUUAGGCUCUACGUCUUGACUAGGUAGUGGCGAAGUUCUGGAAGCACAUGAGUAGGAGAUACUGUGACGGUUUCAUCUUUGGAAAAUACCAUCUAGCACACCUGAAUCUGCUUUCAGGGGGUGUAAGGGGAUUUCCAUGGCAAAAUUUGAAGCCACAUGUGGUCACUGCUUUGUACUGAGGAAACAAAGUGCUCUGGGCAUCCAGAAAGGGGGUACGUUUUUUCUUACUGGGAUAAAUCUGGCUGCAUUUUAGCUAAUCCUGGAAAAUUGAUCGACAAAAGCAAAGGACCAAGAAAGCUGCUUAUAUCAGUGUCUCCUCCACCCUCAGCCUCCAGUAGCAUCCCUACGUUUUACAAUUUUAUUUAUGUCACUUUAAAUAAGGACAUUGAGAGGGAAAAGGCCUCAUCGACAUACCAACUACAGGCCAGGUGGACCUUCGGUGCACACACACCCCAGCGCCCACAGAGAUCCAGGCCUCCUGUGUAUGAAUGUGUGCCAUGAAUUUAGACCUAUUUCUCGCCUUCCGGGCUCUCUAUUCCUCAUCCUCCAUCCAAGUGGCCAUCUUGUGCAGUGCAUCCUCUGCAAUUUGAGGUGACCCUCUUCUCCAGCUGCUGCUGCAGAACCCCAAGUGUGGUCCCCACACCCCCUCACGGUACACUUCAGCAGGAAGGUGCUUCUGCGUCCCCCUGUCCUCAUCCUCCACUGCAGCUGUCCUGCUUCAUCUCUUCCUCCUGGACUCAGGUUGGCCUUGGGCCCUGCUCCAAAAGGAGCACAUUCACCACAGCUUCAGACUUCCUCCUGCUGCCGCUGCUCCUCGGAAGCAAACCUGGUGACUGCUGAUGUCCAGGCCUAGACCAUGCCUGGCAGAGCAGCCAUGGGGUGGAGAAACAAGUCCUCAAGAGGGCUGCGAGGAGAGGCACAGAGACGGUCAGGGAAACUGAGGUCACACAACUGGGAAUAAGAAGGUGGGGUGCUGGGGGGCUUGUCAAUGUGGUUCUUCCACAGAGGAUGGAAAGCCCCUUCAUUUCUGCCCAAGAAAGUAUCUUCAGCAUUCACCGAAAUCUCCCCAAGAGGGAAGCGCCGCAGGAAGGGGAACUAGGAAGGAAAUACAAGCUGGUGCUUACUCCAUCUGGGAACGAUAUGCAUAUGCAAUUUUUUAAAUCACUCAUUCAAGAAAUAAUAAUGAAAAAUGAGUUAUAGGCAAUGGAUUAGUAAGUGCUGAUCAGAUUGACUAUGUAAGUGAAUUACAUUCAAAUUACAUGUGAAGGAGCUCUAUCAAGGGCAAUUAUGGGUCCUUCGAGAGGCUUUAAAAAGAGGAGGGAUGAAACUUGGUUAAAAUGGGGGCUCGUUAAAGGCAAGAGGAGUACAGAAUGGUUGAGGUAACUUUCUCUGUGCCCCACUGUCAGCCCUGCUCUGCCAAGCAGGCUUGCAGGUGGGGAUAUUUGCUUGCUCUGGGUUCAGCAAGUCCUUGUGCUGCCUUGCCUAACCUGCUUCCGAGGUAUCGGGUUUUAAGCUGGUGUGGCAAGAAUGAUAUUGGCCUUUGUGUUCUAAAGGAGUGGCAUGAAGCACAGUGGACCUUGAUCUUCAAUUGACGCCACAGUCUCCCUAAUCCACUGAUCUCCAAUCAUCCCACUAGAUUAGCCACCCUAUCAGGCAGUAUUUUUCCAUGUCCCAUGUGCUCAAGGACGAAGCUUUAAAAGCAAGCUUGGAAGCUUAUGCGAUGCAGUACAGUGUCGGGGGUUGGCAGGGGAGAGAAAAGCAAAGGACUUACAUUUGUUUUAGAAAUUGCUGCCAAAAGAUAAGCUUGUCUGUGCAACUAUAUGACUUCUGACACUGAGGCAGGGAGGAUUGUGAAACCAGGAUAGACAGAAUUUCAGCCAGCAAAUAAGUACACGUUCACUUUAGCCAGGGGGUGGGGUGGGGAGGCGGCUGGGAAGGGACUGAGUUUAUGAAGAGGCCUAGAGUAAUAGUUUCUGAAGCAUUACUUAUCUAGUGCUAGGCGGCAGAGUUCAUUUUGUUUGUAUGCGGUGAUUACUUGCAGUCUACAUGCAGAAAACCAGUUUAUCUAAUGAAGCGCAGGACUACAAAUAGAGGUUUCUUAAUAGAACCAGGCGACUGCCAUGGGCCUCACCCUGACCGCUGGGUCACAGAGCCUUACCAUCGGGGACUAGGCUUUGGGAGGCACUGAGGCAAGUUGGAGAAUUAGAAAAGGAGUCAGCCAUGAGUUAUGUCCUGGCUAUUACCGAGAGAUAAUCUAAAAAAUGAAAAUAAAGCUGCAUAUCAGGAGUUGGAAGCAAUGUUUUACUGAAGGGCAGUCCGGAGACAUGCAUUUUGUUUCCAGGUGUUCAAAUGCACUUCCUCUUGCUGAGGGGGCCCGAAAGCCUCCCGCUGGCUGCUCUGGGUCCCAGGUGCGUCCAGACGUUGCCAGACACACCUCUGUCAGUGUCCCGAAGGGCAAAUUCUAAAGCCAAGGCCAUUUGAUAAAGCCUGGGGAAUUUAUUGCAAGGCAGAUGGACACAGCAGCAGCACAUAAGAGCACACGCGUGGGGCUCCAGCCCGGCCACGGGGAGACCUUUUCUCAGCAAAGGGCAGCACUGCUCGCUUUGCUGGGGCAGCCCUCCCAGGAAGAUCCCAGAAGAGAUGGUCUGAGGUGUGUGAACACUGUGAAUGUCAUGGACAAAGCUCAGCGUGGGACCCCAUGGGACUUCAGGUUAUUAAGAUGUAAAUGUUGGCCAAAAGCUUAUGUGUGAAUUUUAUUUUUAAGUUGUGACUUCGCCAGUGCACAAGCAGGAGGAGGGAGAGUCGGUAUUACUCUGCAAGAGCUGUUUCUCCAGGUUUCUGGGUGUGUUCUUGAGUGAAUAGAAAUCUGACACCACUGAGAAUUCACUGACAAAGGCUUUCCGUCUGCAAGGCAGUGUGUCACGCACUGGCCCUGACCAAUCCCAUUUGGAGCUGAAGACUCCAGAACAUGGCGGAAGGUCAUUUCUGCAGCAGUGUUAGCUGUUCCACAGCUCAAAGAGGAACUAAAAUUAAAGACAGGAAAGCAACAUUGUGAAAAUGCCUAUGGCAGCCACUGAGAGUUACAAAACAGCCUCAACUAUCUCCUAAGAAAUGAUCACUGGGGAUGCAUGUUUUCAAACUCUCAUUGGAUGCCCUGUAUGCACCUGUUGUAAAGUCGAGAAAUCACACCAGCACCAGCACUGCUUUCCUGAUCACCUGUUGAAAAUGUAAUGGACACGAAAUACCAAAAACGGGAUUAAAUUCCCCACCAAGAGGACAUCCUUUUCGUGUCAGCGGCUUCCCAGUAGCAGUUUUUCACAAAAUCGUGUUUAAAAACAUUUUUCUAUAGGCAAUAUUCACCUAGAAUGGAAAACGUGGCUAGAAUAGCUUAUUUUAUGAUCUUAGAUUUUCUCUGUGUUGGUGUGUCUCUCCUCCCAUUUCUGAGUUCUGUUUGGCUUAAAUGUGUAAUGAUCUGACCACUGAGCUUUGUCACAGAACUAGGGUAGGAGGACAAAAUAUUGAGUUAGGAGAAGUUUUCAACCAGCAAUUUCCCAAUAGUACAUGAUUUCCUUUUUUGUCUUCUUUUUCUUCUUCAGAGGAGAGCAGGGUACAUUCUGGAGUGAGGACAUGACUACAAGUUGUAGGCAGGAAAUACUGUUUCAUGACACCAAAUUUUAAAAGAAAGAGACUUUAGAAAAUGGUCAUAUUUUGGCCGGGCACAGUGGCUCAUGCCUGUGAUCCCAGCACUUUGGGAGGCCGAGGUGGGAGGAUCACUUGAGGUCAGGAGUUUGAGACCAGAGACAUGGUGAAACCUCGUCUCUAUUAAAAAUACAAAAAAUUAGCCAGGCAUGGUGGUGCACACCUGUAAUCCCAGCUACUUGGAAGGCUGAGGCAGGAGAAUCGUUUGAACCCGGGAGGCGGAGGUUGCAGUGAGUUGAGGUUGCAGUGAAUUGAGAUUGCGCCACUGCACUCCAGCCUGGGUGACACAGCAAGACUAUGUCUCAAAUGCCCUGAAAGCAGCAGAUCUCACCUGCAUUGGAGGAUGAGACGCCACAUGAAGAAGAAAGAAGACGCCACAGACAGCAGCGCAGUACCACCUUCCAGAGAUGUGAGUGUGACCGUCUUUGACCUUCUAGCCCAGCUGCUUUCCCUGAAUGCAAUGCAUGAGCAGGCCAGGCAAAACUAGAGAGGGAAGCUGCCCAGCUAACCCACAGAAUUAUGAGAGAUAAAAAAUCAUUGUCUUAAGCCACUAAGUCUGUUAUGCAGCAAUAUAUAGCAUUCAUUCAACUUUUGUCUCAUGAAUACUCUCAUUUCUUUUAUAAGUUCUUUUGUGGUUCAAAUUAGCUCAAAUCAGUUUCUGAUGCUUAUGACCAAAUGCCCCUAUGUGAUAGAUUUUGAGGGGUUAAGAAGCUUGCUCGGAUCACACAGCGGUAAGUAGCAGCACUUCAUCUUUAACCCACCUCUGGCCCACUCCCUUUCCAUAGGUCCUUGUUGCCUCCCUCCCUAAUCCCUUCCAGUCUAGUUUCCUCACUCAUUUUAGCAUCUUGAAGAUGCCUGACCUUUUGUAACAGGCACUUAGAAGAGGCAAUAAUCAAGCUGUGAGCUGGAAUACUGGGUUUCUCAUCCAAUAACCAGGUUGGCAGGUUGGUAACCAUACAAGGGACUUUUCAAACUGGAGAAUUAGUGUGCUGAGCACAAAGUGGUGAGUAUUUUGAGAGUUACUGAAAUAUAAUUGACAUAACAAUAAAAAUACAAUAUUUAAGUGCAUGUAUUUCAAGUGUACGAUUUGACAAGUUUGGUUAUAUUAUAUACACCUACGAAACCAUCACCACAAUUAAGAAAAUGAGCAUAGCUAUCACACACAAAAGUUUCCUUGUGCCCCUUGGUAAUUCCUCCCUCUCUCCUGCCCACAUCUCUCCUUUUCCCAGGCAAUCCCUGAUCUGAUUUCUGCCGCUAUCAAUUCGUUUGCAUUUCCUAGAAUUUUAAAUAACUGAAAACAUACAUUAAGAACUCUUUUUCUCUGGCCGAGUAUGGUGGCUCACGCCUGUAAUCCCAGCACUUUGGGUGGCCAAGGCGGGCAGAUCACCUGAGGUCAGGAGUUCGAGACCACCCUGGCCAACGUGGUGAAACCCUGUCUCUACUAAACAUACAAAAAUUAGCCAGGCAUGGUAAUGGGCAUCUGUAAUCCCAGCUACUCGCGAGGCUGAGGCAGGAGAAUUGCUUGAACCUGGGAGACAGAGGUUGCAGUGGGCUGAGAUCACGCCACUGCACUCCAGCAUGGACAACAGAGCGAGACUCCGUCCCCAAAAAAGAAAAAAAAAAAGAACUUUUUUUUCUCCAGCUUCUCCCACUUAGCAUAAUUAUGUUGAGAUUCAGCCAUGUUUUCCUGUGGAUCAAUAAUUUAUUUCUUUAUAUUGCCAAGUGGUAUUCCAUCGUAUGUAUAUACCAUAGUUUGUUUAUCCAUUCAACCACUGAAAGACAUUAGGGUUGUUUUCUGUUUUGGGUUAAUAAAACAAAGCUUCUGUGAACAUUUAUCUACAAGUCUUUGUGUGGAUAUAAGUUUCCAUUUCUCUUAGGUAAAUAUCUAGGGUCAUAAAAUAAGUAUAUACCUAAAUUUUGAAGAAACUACCAAACUAUUUUACAAAAUGGUUGUAUUAUUUUACCUUUUUGCCAGCCAUAUAUGAGAGUGUCAAUUCCUUCACAUUCUUGUCAAAACUUGAUGUGUUCAGUCUUUUUAAUUUUGACCAUUCUAAAAGCAUGUAAUGGGGCCGGGCACAGUGGCUCACACCUGUAAUCCCAGCACUUUGGGAGGCCGAGGCGGGCAGAUCACGAGGUCAGGAGAUCGAGACCAUCCUGGCUAACAUGGUGAAUAAUACUAAAAAUACAAAAAAUUAGCCGGGCAUGGUGGUGGAUGCCUGUAGUCCCAGGUACUCAGGCGGCUGAGGCAGGAGAAUGGCCUGAACCCAGGAGGCAGAGCUUGCAGUGAGCUGAGAUUGCGACACUGCACUCCAGCCUAGGUGACAGAGCGAGACUCUAUCUAAAAAAACAAAACAAAAAUGAAAAAAAAAAACACACAAAAACAUGUAAUGGUAUCCCAUUGUGGUUUUAACUCACAUUACUGUCAGAGGCAUUGGAACCAGAGUGACUCCAUCUUGAGCAGAGGCUAGAUAAAAUAAAGCUGAGACCUUCUGGGCUGCAUUCCCAGGAGGUUAGGCAUUCUUAGUCACAAGAUGAGAUAGGAAGUUGGCACAAGUUACAGGUCACAAAGACCUUGCUGAUAAAACUGGAUGCAGUAAAGAAGCUGGCCAAAACCCACCAAAACUAAGAUAGUGAUGAAAGUGACCUCUGGUUGUCCUUACUGCUCAUUAUAUGCUAAUUAUAAUGCAUUAGCAUGCUAAAAGACACUCCCACCAGUGCCAUAACAGUUUACCAGUGCCAUGGCAACAUCAGGAAGUUACCCUAUAUGGCCUGAAAAGGGGAGGAACCCUCAGUUCCAGGAAUUGCCCACCUCUUUCCUAGAAAACUCAUGAAUAAGUCACCCCUUGUUUAGCAUAAAAUCAAGAAGUAACAAUAAGUAUAAGCAGCUGAGCGGCCCAUGCUGCUGCUCUGUCUAUGGAGCAGCCAUUCCUUUAUUCCUUCACUUUCUUUGUUUUUUGUUUUUUGUUUUGUUUUUUUGUUUGUUUUGAGACAGAGUCUCACUGUGACACCUAGUUUGGACUGCAAUGGCGCGAUCUUGGCUCACUGAAACCUCCGCUUCCCAGGUUCAAACGAUUCUCCUGCCUCAGCCACUACAGGUGUGCACCACCAUGCCUGGCUAAUUUUUGUAGUUUUAGUAGAAAUGAGGUUUCGCCAUAUUGGCCAGGCUGUUCUUGAACUCCUGACCUUAAGUGAUCUGCCUGCUUUGGCCUCCCAAUGUGCUGGGAUUACAGGCUUCAACCACUGAGCCUGGCCUACUCCUUUGCUAUCUUAAUAAACUUGGUUUCAGCUUACUUUAUGGACUCGCCCUAAAUUCUUUCUUGUGCAAGGUCCAAGAACCUUCUCUUGGGGUCUGCAUCAGGACCCCUUUCUGCCCUUUCUGGUAACAGUACCAUAAUAACAAAUAUUAUCGAGCAUAUUUUCAUGUAAUUAUUUGCAACUUGUAUAUCUUCUUUGGUAGAGUGUCUGUUAGAAUAUUUUGUCUAUCUAAAAAUUGGGUUUGUUUUCUUAUUAUUGAAUUUUGAGAGUGUGUUAUAUGUUCUGGACACAAGCCCUUUAUCAGAGAUAUGGUUUGCAAAUAUUUUCUUCUAGUCUGUGACUUUUCUCUCUUAACAAUGUCUUUUGAAGAGCAGGUGUUUUAAAUUUUGAUGAAGUCAGAUGUAUCAAUUUAUGAUUUUAAUAAAUCAUGCUUUUAGCAUAGUAUUUAAGAUACUUAACCCAAGGUCACAAGAGUUUUCUUUUAGAAGUUUUAGUUUUAGGUUUUGCAUUUAGGUAUAUGAUCCAUUUUGAGUUAGUUUAUAUACAUUGUGCAAGGUAAGGACUGAGGUUUUUAAUUUUUGCAUAUAGAUUACCACUUGUGCCAACCUCACUGUUGUGAUGAUAUGAUAGAAAUCACUGUCUUUUCUCCACUGACUUGCUUUUGCAUCUUUGUAAAAAGUUGGUCAUGCCAAUGAAACUGACCCAAUUUUCCCAUAGAACUGAUGGGAAAAACUGUUUACAGUUUUGUUGUUGUUUUUUGUUUUUGUUUUUGUUUUUAAUGAACAUUGAAGUGGACUCUCCAGGUUUUAAAGCUUGAGAAACUUACAUUUGUCUUAUCUGAGUUUAUUUCUCAGGAAACCAGCUGUCAGGCCUCCCAGAUAGUAUCAGAAAGCUGAAGAUUUCCAGAUCGCUGCAUCCUAACAGCAAGGUGCCAGAACCCUGAUUCAACUACCUACUGCCUGUUGAGCAACUCCUACAUAAACUCCUAACUUUAUUGGUUACAGAGACAGAUUUUAGACUUGUCUCCCAUAUCCUGGCUGGCAUCACCAGCAAUAAAGCCUUUCUUCCUGGCAGUACUUGUUGUCUCAGUGAUUGGCUUUCUGUGUGGUGAGCAAUCAGACCUAAGCUGAAUCCCUGGCAUUCACCAACACAUAAAUGUGCAGUUCUGUUUCUGGACUCUCUCUUCUGCUUCAUUGAUCUGUUUUUCUAACUUUAUGCCAAAAUUGCACUAGUUUGAUUACUGUUCCUUUAUAAUAAGCUUUGAAAUAAUGUCAUAUUAGGCCUCCAACUUUGUUCUUCUUUUUGAAAACUGUUUUGGCUAUUUUAGGUCCUUGCAUUUCCAUAAAAGUAUUAGAAUCAGCUUAUCAAUUUCUCCAAAA
rnacentral:tRNA from 10 species